rnacentral:rRNA from 1 species
UGGGGAAUUUUCCGCAAUGGGGGCAACCCUGACGGAGCAACGCCGCGUGGGGGAGGAAGGUCUGUGGAUUGUAAACCCCUUUUCUCAGGGAAGAAGCUCUGACGGUACCUGAGGAAUCAGCAUCGGCUAACUCCGUGCCAGCAGCCGCGGUAAGACGGAGGAUGCAAGCGUUAUCCGGAAUUAUUGGGCGUAAAGCGUCCGUAGGCGGUUUUUCAAGUCUGCCGUUAAAGACCACAGCUUAACUGUGGGCCGGCGGUGGAAACUGAAGAACUGGAGUACGGUAGGGGUAGAGGGAAUUCCCAGUGUAGCGGUGAAAUGCGUAGAUAUUGGGAAGAACACCAGUGGCGAAGGCGCUCUACUGGGCCGUAACUGACGCUGAGGGACGAAAGCUAGGGGAGCGAAAGGGAUUAGAUACCCCCGUAGUCC